GGGCAUAUUUACAUUAUAUUUUCGAUGAAUGCCUUGAACGAUGAAUGACUGGAGUGGUGCACCGCUUCGGCAGGUAGAUGAUUCCAUUCUUUCACUGUCUGAACGAAGAAAGAGUUAAGAUGAGCGGCGGUGCGAGCUGGAGGGGGAUAAACAGCCUUUGAAUGGCUAUGACGGGA
rnacentral:lncRNA from 1 species